GUUUUUCGUGGGGGAUAACGUAGGGAAACUUAACGUAUUCCCGCAUACAACCUACAUCUGCGAUUACUGGGAUCUUCGAACCUUGGGCGACUGAAUGCACACAUGUCUCAUUACUGAGAUGGGGGUUCUGGGGCCCACUUACCGUACGAUCGCUUGCUGGCUCUGUCCCAACAUCUGCCACACUGGAACUGACCUGGGUCCAAACUCCAUGAUGACUUGACAUCGGGGAAUAUUUCCUAAUGUUUGUCAAGCCUGAUCCUCCUUUACCUUCCGGGUGAAGAAGGCCUUCAACUUGUAAAGCCCUUUUGUUGCGAAACAAAACUUACUGGUUCAUACCCCGAUGGGAUGACAGUACCCCCAUAAUAAACCUGUGCUAACUUCCCGCAAGGCACCGCUCCAAUACUGGAGGUGUCUCCGUUUGUCAGAGUUACUGGACGUUCUUCGCGCGUAGGCGGACUAUUACGUCUGCUGUGAAAGUUGUGCGCUCAACCUGCGAACUGCAGUGGAUACUGUCUUACUACAGUGUGCCAGAGGGUAGCGGAAUUCCUGGUGUACUUCUGAACUGCGUGCAAAUUGGAGGAACAUCCUGGUCGAAUCAGCUACCUGGAGACUACUGACACUCUAAUCCUGAUUG
rnacentral:rRNA from 1 species